UACGGAGGGGGCGAGCGUUUAUUCGGAAUUAUUGGGCGUAAAGGGCGCGUAGGCGGCUUGAUGUGUCAAAGGUGAAAUCCCUCGGCUCAACUGAGGAACUGCCUUUGAAACUGUCUGGCUUGAGGCCGGGAGAGGGUAGCGGAAUUCCCAGUGUAGCGGUGAAAUGCGUAGAUACUGGGAGGAACACCGGUGGCGAAGGCGGCUACCUGGACCGGUUCUGACGCUGAUGCGCGAAAGCGUGGGUAGGCAAACAGG
rnacentral:rRNA from 1 species